rnacentral:rRNA from 1 species
UACAGAGGGGGCAAGCGUUGUUCGGAAUUAUUGGGCGUAAAGAGCUCGUAGGCGGUCUGUCGCGUCUGCUGUGAAAACCCGGGGCUCAACCCCGGGCUUGCAGUGGAUACGGGCAGACUAGAGUUCGGUAGGGGAGACUGGAAUUCCUGGUGUAGCGGUGAAAUGCGCAGAUAUCAGGAGGAACACCGGUGGCGAAGGCGGGUCUCUGGGCCGAUACUGACGCUGAGGAGCGAAAGCGUGGGGAGCGAACAGG